rnacentral:rRNA from 1 species
GGCAGGCCUAACACAUGCAAGUCGAGCGGCAGCGCGGGGGCAACCCUGGCGGCGAGCGGCGGACGGGUGAGGAAUUCGUCGGAAUCUGCCUUUUUGUGGGGGAUAACGUAGGGAAACUUACGCUAAUACCGCAUACGACCUACGGGUGAAAGUGGGGGACCGCAAGGCCUCACGCAGAAAGAUGAGCCGACGACCGAUUAGCUAGUUGGUAGGGUAAAGGCCUACCAAGGCGACGAUCGGUAGCUGGUCUGAGAGGAUGAUCAGCCACACUGGGACUGAGACACGGCCCAGACUCCUACGGGAGGCAGCAGUGGGGAAUAUUGGACAAUGGGCGUAAGCCUGAUCCAGCCAUGCCGCGUGUGUGAAGAAGGCCUUCGGGUUGUAAAGCACUUUUGUCCGGAAAGAAAUCUUCCAACUUAAUACGUUGGGAGGAUGACGGUACCGGAAGAAUAAGCACCGGCUAACUUCGUGCCAGCAGCCGCGGUAAUACGAAGGGUGCAAGCGUUACUCGGAAUUACUGGGCGUAAAGCGUGCGUAGGCGGUUCGUUAAGUCUGACGUGAAAUCCCCGGGCUCAACCUGGGACGUGCGUUGGAAACUGGCGAUCUAGAGUAC